UGGCGAUGAUUAAAUUGGAUUUUAUCCGCGCUUCUGAGAGAAAUCGUUGAAGAUAAAAAAUAAAAUGGUUGAAUUUCUUGAUAUGAGCCA
rnacentral:snoRNA from 1 species